rnacentral:lncRNA from 1 species
UGAAAAGAUGCAGAUUAUACAUUUUAAAGCAGUUAUUUAUUCUGCUUUUUCUGUUCCCUUUUCGAAUCAUAUCAGACAACUGAAUAAUCAUUUACUUACUUCAUUUGCACAGUCUCUAUGAUUGUCAGAAUGCUCAGCUCAUAGGCCUCUGAUUUUUGCUGUCCCUCUAUUCUUGCAUUUUUCUACAAUCCUCCCUCUUGCCCAGAUCUCUUCCACAAUGAGUGUGCUUUUUCAAUUCCAUAGGACCACUGUUUCUUGGUGCCUGCCUCCCACCAGACUCUAUGCCAAAUGCCAGGUGUAGGGGGUGGAAGAAACAGCCAGGCUGCCUUUCUCUCGGUAUCACAUUCCACAGAGCCUGGCACUUAUAAAGAACUAAGGGUUUUAUGCUGAGUUUGACAACUUAUAGAAGCAGAAGGUGGGGGCCCAUUUAUAUUUUUUCUCAAGUCCACACCCCAUGUGCAAUCAGUUUGUAGUCUCUGGAGAUAAACUUACUGUGAAUUUAUUAAGACCUCCCUUUGAUGCCUCCAGAACAGACGCUUCUCGUGUCUGUUGCUUUUGGUAAAGUUGUUGCCUUUAGUCCCUUAAAUAAUCAGCAACAACAUUUCGUUUCACCCCUAAAGUUAGACCACUUCUACGAAGUCUGGCCUUUCAUGACCGAUUUACAACAGUCUGUAAAGGAUUAACUAAAUAUAUAUUUUAUAAGUGCCGUGUAAUUCAGAGUUACAGUUCAGGUCGAAAACAAGGCUUGUCAGCUUAACCUAUUUUAACUUAAAAGUGUUUGUAGCUUUGUUUAGUUUGAUUAGUUGUUGGUUGGUCUACUGUUACUAUCAUCAUUGCCAUCAUCAUUGAUUUGCCCAUCUGUUUUCAGGGAAGGUUUUUGUUAAAACCAAAUAAAUAAAUAGAAAUCCAGUGAAUGUAAGAUAGUUUUGGUUAUGAAUUGUAUUCAUCUUUCUGCUCAAGAACUUCCUCUGAGGGUAGACAAGUUUGCCAUUGGGUGAAGCGUCCGUGGAGGGAUGGUCUCCUGCUUCCCUUAAUUCUACCAUGACAUGGUCAAGCAUGCUCUUCGGCUCAUUUGUUAGCCCCUGUUAUACAAUGAAUUAUGUCUCCCCAAAAUUGAUAUGUCAAAGCCCUAACCCCCAGGACCUCCCAAUGUGACUGUAUUUGAAGAUAGGACCUUUAAAGAUGCAAUUAAAGUUAAGGGAGUCAGGGCUUCCCUGGUGACGCCUUGGCUGAGAGUCCGCCUGCCGAUGCAGGGGACGCGGGUUCAUGCCCCGGUCCGGGAGGAUCCCAUGUGCCGUGGAGCGGCUGGGCCCGUGAGCCAUGGCCGCUGCGCCUGCAUGUCUGGAGCCUGUGCUCCGCAACGGGAGAGGCCACAACAGUGAGAGGCCCACGUACC